UCAGUUUUAGUAUAAAGUAUAUUACGGGGGCCUUGUAAGUCCUAAAUUUGUUAAGGCAAAAACUGGU
rnacentral:tRNA from 1 species